UAGUUCGUGGAGUGAUCUGUCUGCUUAAUUGCGUUUCAAAUUCUAUUGUUGAGUACCAGGUCCUAAGAGUUUCAAGCAAAUCUGUCUCUGAGUGUGAACUGUAUGUCUUCGGAUAUGCGACUAUCGCUCUAGACAACUAUGAUCUGCUUGUAGCCUCUGGUACUCUUUUGAACGCAACGGACGUGAUUGCAACCCCUUGUUGAGUUUGCUUCUCUUAGGAACUCUACGUCUGCUGAACCACCUACCUUAGCGGGUAGGUGGUGAGGUGGAUAAACUCGGGGGACUGCUGACUAUAACCAUUUCUCAAAACAGAGGAAGGUUGCGGCAAUAACAGGUCUGUGAUGCCCUCAGAUGUCCCGGGCUGCACACGUGCUACAAUGAGUAGCGCAGUGUGCACAUUUUGAAGAGUGAUAGGUGCUGGGGAUUGUAUAUUUCAUGGGCUCGUCCUGGUAACCAACCGCCCCCAGCAUCUAUCAACCUUCCCUUUACAGGGUGGGUAACCUCUUCGAAAUGCUGGUUUGAUUCUCUUAGUGUUUGUCAUUUUAUUCCUCGUCGCAGCUGCUCUAGGACAUAGUGAACACUGUAAAGUGAUUCCCGUCUUAGGCUUGUGACGCGUGCUUUUCCUGGUUGACUC
rnacentral:rRNA from 1 species